GCUCUGCUCUGUCCCUCAGGCGUGUCCGACUCUGCGACCCCGUGGACUGUAGCCCGCCGGGCUCCUCUGUCCACGGGGUUCUCCAGGCAGCAAUACUGGAGUGGGUAGGCCUGUCCCUUCUCCAGGGGAUCUUCCCGACCCAGAGAUCGAACCUGGAUCUCCCGCAUUGCAGGCAGAUUCUUUACCGUCUGAGCCACCAGGGGGAGCCCAUGAGACGCCAUACGCUUACUGCGGCUGGAAAGCUCAGAAAUGAAUGAGGGGCAACUGGCAAUCAGCUACGGCCUGGGCAGGCGUGUGAAGAAAGGCAAGUGCACGAAGAAAAGGCAAGUGCAGGGUCUCACCUGCUCUGCAGCCGCGGGAGACCCGGCUCAGGAGCCCGUGCAGUCUGUCGUCAGGCCCGGCGUGCACGAGGAUGCAGAGAACGUAGAGGCGGGCUCUUUACCGCUGAGCCACGAGGGAAGCCCUACCCACCCGAUACAGGAGAUAAAUAAGGCUGCCCAAAGAGUGACCGCUGGCAGACAAGGACGCCGCACUGACCUGGCACAAAGUGGACCCGCU